CAGUCGCCGCGGGAAUACGAGGGGAGCUAGCGUUGUUCGGAGUUACUGGGCGUAAAGCGCGCGUAGGCGGCUUUUUAAGUCAGAGGUGAAAGCCCGGGGCUCAACCCCGGAAUUGCCUUUGAAACUGGAAAGCUAGAAUCUUGGAGAGGUCAGUGGAAUUCCGAGUGUAGAGGUGAAAUUCGUAGAUAUUCGGAAGAACACCAGUGGCGAAGGCGACUGACUGGACAAGUAUUGACGCUGAGGUGCGAGAGCGUGGGGAGCAGACAGGAUUAGAUACCCCUGUAGUCCCUGUCUCUUAUAA
rnacentral:rRNA from 1 species